rnacentral:rRNA from 1 species
AUCAGGGUUGCCCCCAUUGUCCAAAAUUCCCCACUGCUGCCUCCCGUAAGAGUCUGGGCCGUGUCUCAGUCCCAGUGUGGCUGAUCUUCCUCUCAGAACAGCUAUUGAUCAUCGCCUUGGUAAGCCUUUACCCCACCAACUAGCUAAUCAACCAUCGGCCGAUCUAAUAGCGCCUGGACUAUCUCUAGCUCCCAAGCUUUCCUCCUCAGAGAUUAUACGGUAUUAGCUCAUCUUUCAAUGAGUUAUCCCAUCCUAUUAGGCACGUUCCGAUGUAUUACUCACCCGUCCGCCACUCGCCAUCAGGAGCAAGCUCCUAUGCUGCCGUUCGACUUGCAUGUGUAAAGCACGCCGCCAGCGUUCAAUCUGAGCCAGGAUCAAACUCU